rnacentral:rRNA from 1 species
AGCUUGCUCCUGGAUUCAGCGGCGGACGGGUGAGUAAUGCCUAGGAAUCUGCCUGGUAGUGGGGGACAACGUUUCGAAAGGAACGCUAAUACCGCAUACGUCCUACGGGAGAAAGCAGGGGACCUUCGGGCCUUGCGCUAUCAGAUGAGCCUAGGUCGGAUUAGCUAGUUGGUGAGGUAAUGGCUCACCAAGGCKACGAUCCGUAACUGGUCUGAGAGGAUGAUCAGUCACACUGGAACUGAGACACGGUCCAGACUCCUACGGGAGGCAGCAGUGGGGAAUAUUGGACAAUGGGCGAAAGCCUGAUCCAGCCAUGCCGCGUGUGUGAAGAAGGUCUUCGGAUUGUAAAGCACUUUAAGUUGGGAGGAAGGGUUGUAGAUUAAUACUCUGCAAUUUUGACGUUACCGACAGAAUAAGCACCGGCUAACUCUGUGCCAGCAGCCGCGGUAAUACAGAGGGUGCAAGCGUUAAUCGGAAUUACUGGGCGUAAAGCGCGCGUA